rnacentral:rRNA from 1 species
CUUCCUACGGGAGGCAGCAGUGAGGAAUAUUGGUCAAUGGUCGGGAGACUGAACCAGCCAAGCCGCGUGAGGGAUGAAGGUACAGAGUAUCGUAAACCUCUUUUGUCAGGGAACAAAGGCGGGGACGUGUCCCCGGAUGAGUGUACCUGAAGAAAAAGCAUCGGCUAACUCCGUGCCAGCAGCCGCGGUAAUACGGAGGAUGGGCGCGUUAUCCGGAUUUAUUGGGUUUAAAGGGUGCGCAGGCGGUCUGUUAAGUCAGCGGUCAAAACCCGGGGCUCAACCCCGGCCCGGCGUUGUAACUGGCG